rnacentral:rRNA from 1 species
AUCCUGGCGGCGAGUGGCGAACGGGCGAGUAAUACAUCGGAACGUGCCCAAUCGUGGGGGAUAACGCAGCGAAAGCUGUGCUAAUACCGCAUACGAUCUACGGAUGAAAGCAGGGGAUCGCAAGACCUUGCGCGAAUGGAGCGGCCGAUGGCAGAUUAGGUAGUUGGUGAGGUAAAGGCUCACCAAGCCUUCGAUCUGUAGCUGGUCUGAGAGGACGACCAGCCACACUGGGACUGAGACACGGCCCAGACUCCUGCGGGAGGCAGCAGUGGGGAAUUUUGGACAAUGGGCGAAAGCCUGAUCCAGCCAUGCCGCGUGCAGGAUGAAGGCCUUCGGGUUGUACACUGCUUUUGUACGGAACGAAACUGCCUUUUCUUAUAAAGAGGGCUAAUGACGGUAC